GAUGAACGCUGGCGGCGUGCCUAAUACAUGCAAGUCGAACGAAACGUCUAGAUGACCGCGUGCUUGCAGUCAGCGAUAUAGGGGUGAGUGGCGAGCGGGUUAGCAACCUGUAAGCCUGCUACACAAAAGGGGAGGAUAAUCUUUUACAACAGGUACUACUACAUCAUAUCCAUCAAUAGCGCAUGGCGGCUAUGCAAACACUGGUUGUACUAUCUCUACCGGAUUUGCCCGCGGCUCAUGUGCUAGUUGGUAAGGUCAAGGCUUACCAAGGCAAUGAUGCGUAGCCGAACUGAGAGGGUGAUCGGCCACACUGGAACUGAGACACGGCCCAAACUCCUACGGGAGGCAGCAGUAGGGAAUCUUACGCAAUGGGCGAAAGCCUGAUGGAGCAACGCCGCGUGAGUGAUGAAGGUCUUCGGAUCGUAAAACUCUGUUGUUAGGGAAGAAAGAAUGUGAAAGUAACUGUGCACGUCUUGACGGUACCUAACCAGAAAGCCACGGCUAACUACGUG
rnacentral:rRNA from 1 species